rnacentral:rRNA from 1 species
UACGGAGGGUGCAAGCGUUAAUCGGAAUUACUGGGCGUAAAGCGUGCGUAGGCGGUUUUUUAAGUCAGAUGUGAAAUCCCCGGGCUCAACCUGGGAACUGCAUCUGAUACUGGAAGACUAGAGUGUGGGAGAGGAGAGUGGAAUUUCCGGUGUAGCGGUGAAAUGCAUAGAGAUCGGAAGGAACAUCAGUGGCGAAGGCGACUCUCUGGACCAACACUGACGAUGAGGCACGAAAGCGUGGGUAGCAAACAGG